UCCCAGCACUAAUUUCUGGCAUACAAGUUCAGGAAAGGUGGACCUGUGGCAGUAACUCCAUGUCAAUGCGCAAAGCACAGUUUCUUUUCCCGUUGGCUGUUCUCAGCUGGGCAAGAAUGAAAUCAUACCAUAAAAUGAUGAAUGAAUUCCAGCUCAAGACAUCGCUUACCACCCCUGGAGAAGGAGAAGACGCCUCUCACAAGUAUCUAUCAACAGCAUGAAGAGCAAAAGACCUGGAUGCUGCACUCCUCUGGGUGAUGUUUCAGCCUUUACUGGAAAUCAAGCUUACCAGCUCCUAGACCAUCCCAACUGCUCAGUGAGACGCCAGCGGCCUUUGUGUUUCCCCAAACUGAAGAGAAGACACCAAGUCCUCACUUUGUGGUGCAGGUGAAUAUGCAUGACAA